rnacentral:rRNA from 1 species
GAUGAAUGCUGGCGGCGUGCCUAACACAUGCAAGUCGAGCGGCAGCGAGUUUUACACUGAAUUCUGGAAGCUUCUGAGUAGUACAGAAGAUUUAUUCAAGAGUUUUGUGUAAAAUGUCGGCGAGCGGCGGACGGCUGAGUAACGCGUAGGAAUUUGCCCCAAAGUGAGGAAUAACUGUCCGAAAGGGUAGCUAAUGCCGCAUAUGGUCUUCGGAUUAAAGCCUUCGGGCGCUUUGGGAGAAGCCUGCGUUGGAUUAGGUAGUUGGUAGGGUAAUGGCCUACCAAGCCGACGAUCCAUAGCUGGUCUGAGAGGAUGAUCAGCCAGACUGGAACUGAGACACGGUCCAGACUCCUACGGGAGGCAGCAGUGAGGAAUCUUCCACAAUGGGCGAAAGCCUGAUGGAGCAACGCCGCGUGAAGGAUGAAGGCCUUCGGGUUGUAAACUUCUUUUAUGAGUGAAGAAUAUGACGGUAACUCAUGAAUAAGCACCGGCUAACUACGUG